GAUGAACGCUGGCGGCGUGCCUAAUACAUGCAAGUCGAGCGAACGGACGAGAAGCUUGCUUCUCUGAUGUUAGCGGCGGACGGGUGAGUAACACGUGGAUAACCUACCUAUAAGACUGGGAUAACUUCGGGAAACCGGAGCUAAUACCGGAUAAUAUUUUGAACCGCAUGGUUCAAAAGUGAAAGACGGUCUUGCUGUCACUUAUAGAUGGAUCCGCGCUGCAUUAGCUAGUUGGUAAGGUAACGGCUUACCAAGGCAACGAUGCAUAGCCGACCUGAGAGGGGGAUAGGCCACACGGGAACUGAGACACGGUCCAGACUCCUACGGGAGGCAGCAGUAGGGAAUCUUCCGCAAAGGGCGAAAGCCUGACGGAGCAACGCCGCGUGAGUGAUGAAGGUCUUCGGAUCGUAAAACUCUGUUAUUAGGGAAGAACAUAUGUGUAAGUAACUGUGCACAUCUUGACGGUACCUAAUCAGAAAGCCACGGCUAACUACGUG
rnacentral:rRNA from 1 species